rnacentral:rRNA from 1 species
CCAAUAGCGUAUAUUAAAGUUGUUGCAGUUAAAAAGCUCGUAGUUGAACUUCGGGAUUUAUUCAUUGGUCAGGCUUAAUUGUCUGUACUGGUGAGAUAAAUCUCUACCUUCUGAGGAACUUUCAUGCCAUUUAUUUGGUGUGAUUGGAAAUCAGGACUAUUACUUUGAAAAAAUUAGAGUGUUUAAAGCAGGCUAACGUCUGAAUACAUUAGCAUGGAAUAAUGAAAUAGGACGGACUGGUUCUAUUUUGUUGGUUUCUAGGAUCACCGUAAUGAUUAAUAGGGAUAGUUGGGGGCAUUAGUAUUCAAUUGUCAGAGGUGAAAUUCUUGGAUUUAUUGAAGACUAACUACUGCGAAAGCAUUUGCCAAGGAUGUUUUCAUUAAUCAAGAACGAAAGUUAGGGGAUCGAAGACGAUCAGAUACCGUCGUAGUCUUAACCAUAAACUAUGCCGACUAGGGAUCGGACGAAGUUAAUUUUAUAAUGACGCGUUUGGCACCUUACG